AGCGGUGGGGGCAGAUUGCGUUCUGCUGGGUGCAGAGCACCGGUAGUGUAAGAGUGGGUGGUGGCAGUAGCCACCACGUGCAAGCUCCCCCUGCCUCCUUCCCUGUUCCUGGGCGUCUCCCCUGUUAUUCUGGACCCGCAUGUGGCUAGUAUGUACGUAACACCCCCGCGCACACACUGGGCUGUGUGGGGUUUUUUCUGCGUGUGUUUUGACAUGGGCAAGAUGGCCCCCGUGGUUCUGGCCAUGUGCUCAGCACCUGGCAUGCUGGAGCCUGGAUCUGGGGGAAAUAUGUAAAACCCUCUGCCCUCAUUGGCCAGGAGCAGCAGAGGCUUCUUCAUGCAGAUUGGUUGGGAGAAAGACUCAAACGUGGCCCUCCCGGAUUGGACAAGGCGUGGAUGAUGUCACACCAGUAGGUUAAUGCCACGGGGGUGUUAACCCCUGAAGCAAGCUGCCCAGGAAUGGGUCCCGGCAGUUGCUGGCUGCAGGGGCCUGGCCCCUCCGUUCUGUAAUUGCACGGUCUCCACGUGGGAGAUAGCUAAGACCGGAUGUCCAGGCCACAGCCUCCGGCCUGGCCCGUUUUUCUCCUCUUUCUGCAGCUGCGGUGCUUCAUCCUAGUCGCGUGGCUGAGCCCCAGCUAUAGGUGUACGCCCCAGCGCAGUAUAGGCCUGGCCGGCAUUUGCUGCCCAGUUCAGGCCCAGUGAGACACGCCUGGCCUCUCCUGCGAAGUUUCUUUUUGCAAUGUCUGUCCUGCAGAGCUGGGAUUGGGGUUGAGUUAAUCUGACAGCCCCCACCCGCCAGACACUGUACUAAAUACAUGGGUUUGAAUAAGGAAUUGGCUUUUGGGCUGGGAUUAUGGCUGGAAAUCCAUGCACUUCAGCAGCUUCCCACGGCCCAGCGAACCCACGGAGCCGCUGAAAAGACUCCCCAGUGAAGCCCCGUGUGCAGUUUAUUGCUGAAGGGCAGGUAUCGGGGUGCAGUCCCCUGUAACUGCCUUUGGGGUGAGCCCCAAGCCCCAGACUACCUGGGCACGGGUGAAGCCACCCCAAGAGGGUGCAAGCUGUGAACUAUGCCUUGUAGUUGGUAGUGUUUUAACCUGUAUUUGGUGUUUCCUUUGUUUCCUUUGCCUUUGUUUCUGUAAUACAUUUGUUCUCCGUGUUUAUACUACUUGCAAGGAGGUGAGACUGAAAUUGGUUCCUUAUUUCUUAUUCCUGAUUCCUUUUUCAAAGCUAAUCUAGACCCAUGAAAAACUUGUUGUUAAUGAAUUGCACAUCCUAAACAGAGAGACUUUCAUUAGCUAUGCAUAUGUACUAUUUAAUAUGUAAAAUAAUAUCCCUCAUCAAGUACAGAGCCCUAAAUGAAGGUCAGAUUAGGAUGGGAUUAUGGGGCAAAAUACUUCUUGGGCCACCCCAAAUUUCCUGUCAAUGCCGCUGGGGGACUGUCCCAAAGAACCAGGACUGCAGUCCUGCCCGGCCCAAAGCACGGUUUGGCCUUGCCAGGCUGCCAACUAACAGCCCCCAUGCCCACUAUACUGGGGCUGGGAAAUGCAGUGAGCACAGCUUGACCUGGGAUGCCCCAUGGAGCCAAUGGGGAUCUAAUCCAGCGGUUCCCAAACUGCGGGUCACGACCCCAAAGGGGACGCAGCGUCAGUGGAUGGGGUUGUGGCGCAGCGCUCUCUCCGGCACCGGGUGCUGCCUGCUGAGCUGCAGACACCCCGGAGAAGGGCAGCAGGGCAGGGAGCCCCAAGCAGCCCACAACACCCCCCUCGCCCCCCAGGCCCCCCUCUGGCUGUCACAUACCAGACACAUAGGAGCCUGCUUAAAACCUUGAAAAAUACAGUAUGAUAAGCUGCAAGUCAUGCCUCAUUAUUUCUUUUCAGAAGGUCCAGCUGCAAACUCGCAUCCUUUUGCACUAUGCAGUUGUCAUCCAUAUUUUGUAUUUUAACUUUUGUAAGUAGGCCCAGCUCAGCUUGAGCUUCACAGUCAUCAUCGGGGGGUGUCCGUCACUUCACCAAGGGUCUCUGCCACUCCUCCUGGGGUCUCCAUGCUCCUCCAUGAUGCCAGGGGGUGUCCAUUGCUCCACUGAGGGUUUCUGUUGCUCCAUGGAGGGGUCUCUGUCACUCCCUCAUGCCCCUGUGGGUAUCCAUCGCUCCUCUGUCCUGCCAGGGGUUUCUGCUGGUCCUCUUCAGAUUGCCAGGGAGCCCCAGAUCUGCUAGGUCCUGCCUGGCACCAGAGGGAGGCUCGGGGAUUUUUUCCAGCUGUUAUUCCUACAGUACAAUAGUACAGUCUCAUGUAAAGUCACUACAAAGCCCUGUACUCGGAAGCACUUUUACUCUGAAAAGUUCAUUGAAAAUAUCCAGGGAGUGACUCCUGUCUGGGAUCUUUUCCUUUUCCCCACACCUGUGUUUUUCACCAAAACUACGGCCAACUGGACCUGGGUUAAAUACCCGACCUGUCCUACUAUGGAGUGGACUUUGGGGCCACAAUGUUUUGGCAGCAUUUCCUCCGCCAGGGAUAAGACUAAUACUCCUUUCUAAGAUGCUCUUCUGCACAAGGCCAUUGGCAGCCUAGGCUUGACAGGGUUGUUGGCCCCAAAAAACCUAUUUGUCUAAAUAUUCAAGGGGUUGGCCCUGAACAGACCUUAAACAAACCAAAAUCGAUGGCUGGCCAACUAAUAGUUCGAUGGGCGGGGGAACUGAGGAGUGGAUCCAAGCUCUGGCAUCUAUCAAGUAGAUGCUCAGACCACCAAGUAACGGUAUCCACACAUGGACUGAAACCUUAAGGAAUUAAAAUGGUUUAUUAAACACAAUGAACAACCACUAAAAAAUACCAAAACCUAUUACUUAUCCUGGAAACAGUUUACUGUACUAAGUGUAUAGACAUAAAUUCCCACUAUUGGCACUACUAUAUGCGAGGGUCCAUACAGACGUAUACAAACGUAACACAGGAAAGGAUGGGUGAUAUUUAUUUCCCUAGGAGGACUACGAGGUCGUACAACGGGUUAGAGGAAAAGAAGCCAGGAUGACCCUCAAGUCUUCUCCUAUCUCUAUAUUGAUGAUGUAGUCUUCCAUGGCCCCAGAGGCAGAAUGGGGCAGGGAGCAGAGUUAGAGCUAGUAACAGCAAGAGGUAGGGUAACACUCUGCAUACUUCACUAGAGCACAGACCCGUGUCUGUACGAGGCCCCGCUCCUCAUCUCGUACUCCUAGGCUGGCCUCCUAGUGCAGUUACGAGCAACAGACUUUGGUAACGAUAACAUCUGCCGAGUGAUUGGGACUGAGUGUGUGUGUGAAUGAAUGAGCGCUCUUUUGAAUAUUUUAAUCAAUAAACGGGGCAUCUUGCCUUAUCCCCCCUUAUAA